rnacentral:rRNA from 1 species
UUCAGGGGUAAACCUGAGAAACCCAAAAGAUCGAAUGGGGAGAUUCAUCGACGACGAAGCUGGCUCCCGUUGGCGUGCGAUUCCCCCGUUGGGACCUCGGUUCCAGAACGCGGGGUACACCCCUUCGGCGAAUAACCGGCGACGUAGUCGUGCACUUCUCCCUUUGUAGAACGUCGCGACCCGUUGUGUGUCGGUCUACGGCCUGAGCUAUUUGCCUGUCGCGGUGGCAUUCGUUCGCUCGCGGCAGAGGCUCGGUCGCCCGGCCGGCUGCACGACGGUACUCCGACGGUAUCGGGCCGCAACCAAUCCAUUCUCGAAUGGUAUAUGCGUCCAGGCCCGUCGCAAGCUCGGACAGCACCCGGAGCGUGUGGACGCAGCGCCCUCCCCGGGUCUGGCCAGCUGUUAGCAGACGGUGUCCUCGGACCGGCCAAGCUUCGAAUUACCGGUCAGCGACGCUAUUGCUUUGGGUACUCUCAGGACCCGUCUUGAAACACGGACCAAGGAGUCUAACAUGUGCGCGAGUCAUUGGGACAUUGAAACCUAAAGGCGAAAUGAAAGUGAAAGUCGUCGUAAGCGUCGACCAAGGGAGGAUGGGCCGCGUCACGUCGCGGCCUCGCACUCCCGGGGCGUCUCGUUCUCGUUGAGAAGAGGCGCACCCAGAGCGUACACGUU